rnacentral:rRNA from 1 species
GAGGAAUAUUGGGCAAUGCCUGCAAGGGUGACCCAGCAACGCCGCGUGGAGGAUGAAUGUCGUAAGAUUGUAAACUCCUGUUAGAGGGGAAGAAUAGUACCGGUUGGACUGGUAUAUGACUGUACCCUCAGAGAAAGCCCCGGCUAACUACGUGCCAGCAGCCGCGGUAAUACGUAGGGGGCAAGCGUUGUCCGGAUUUGCUGGGUGUAAAGGGCGCGCAGGCGGGAUAAAAAGUCAGUGGUGAAAGCCUAAAGCUUAACUGUAGAACUGCCUUGGAUACUUUGAUUCUUGAGUGCGGGAGAGAGAGACGGAAUUCCAGGUGUAGUGGUGAAAUACGUAGAUAUCUGGAAGAACACCAGUUGCGAAGGCGGUCUCUUGGUCCGACACUGACGCUGAGGCGCGAAAGCGUGGGGAGCAAACA